UACAGAGGUGGCAAGCGUUGUUCGGAAUUACUGGGCGUAAAGGGCGCGUAGGCGGCCUUCUAAGUCGGACGUGAAAGCCCCAGGCUUAACCUGGGAACUGCGUCCGAUACUGGGAGGCUUGGAUUCGGGAGAGGGAUGUGGAAUUCCAGGUGUAGCGGUGAAAUGCGUAGAUAUCUGGAGGAACACCGGUGGCGAAGGCGGCGAUCCUGGACCGAGAUCGACGCUGAGGCGCGAAAGCUAGGG
rnacentral:rRNA from 1 species